rnacentral:rRNA from 1 species
UACUUGGAUAACUGUGGCAAUUCUAGAGCUAAUACAUGCUGAAGGAGUGCUUUUAUUAGACCAAAACCAAUUUUGGUGAAUCUGAAUAACUAACGGUCUUUGCACCGUCGACAUAUCUUCCAAGUGUCUGCCUUAUCAACUUUCGAUGGUAGUGUAUUGGACUACCAUGGUGAUAACGGGUAACGGAGAAUUAGGGUUCGACUCCGGAGAGGGAGCCUGAGAAACGGCUACCACAUCUAAGGAAGGCAGCAGGCACGCAAAUUACCCACUCCCGGCGGGGAGGUAGUGACGAAAAAUAACGAGACGGUUCUCUAGUCAUCGGAAUGAAUACAACCUAAACUCUUUAAUGAGUAUCAAUUGGAGGGCAAGUCUGGUGCCAGCAGCCGCGGUAAUUCCAGCUCCAAUAGCGUAUAUUAAAGUUGUUGCGGUUAAAAAGCUCGUAGUUGGAUCUGAAUGUGAGUCGGUCACCAGUGGGUUGCUCUAGCGCACUCCUGGUGCUCUUAAUCGGGUGUCGGGGUAGCUAGAACUUUUACUUUGAAAAAAUUAGAGUGCUCAAAGCAGACGAUUUCGGAAUAUCUCUGCAUGGAAUAAUGGAAUAGGAGAGUCCAUUUUGUUGGUUUUCGGUCCCGAGGUAAUGAUUAAGAGGGACAGACGGGGGCAUUCGUAUUGCGACGUUAGAGGUGAAAUUCUUGGA